UACGGAGGGUGCGAGCGUUGUCCGGAAUUACUGGGCGUAAAGGGCGCGUAGGCGGAUACUUAAGUCGGGGGUGAAAGCCCAGGGCUCAACCCUGGAAUAGCCUUCGAUACUGGGUAUCUUGAGUUCGGGAGAGGUGAGUGGAACUCCGAGUGUAGAGGUGAAAUUCGUAGAUAUUCGCAAGAACACCAGUGGCGAAGGCGGCUCACUGGCCCGGUACUGACGCUGAGGUGCGAAAGCGUGGGGAGCAAACAGG
rnacentral:rRNA from 1 species